rnacentral:rRNA from 1 species
CCUACGGGAGGCAGCAGUGGGGAAUAUUGCACAAUGGGCGAAAGCCUGAUGCAGCGAUGCCGCGUGCGGGAAGAAGGCCUUAGGGUUGUAAACCGCUUUCAGUAGGGAAGAGAAUGACGGUACCUACAGAAGAAGGUGCGACCAACUACGUGCCAGCAGCCGCGGUGACACGUAGGCACCAAGCGUUGUCCGGAUUUAUUGGGCGUAAAGAGCUCGUAGGCGGUUUGGUAAGUCGGGUGUGAAAACUCUGGGCUCAACCCAGAGAGGCCACUCGAUACUGCUAUGACUUGAGUACGGUAGGGGAGUGGGGAAUUUCUAGUGUAGCGGUGAAAUGCGCAGAUAUUAGAAGGAACACCAGUGGCGAAGGCGCCACUCUGGGCCGUAACUGACGCUGAGGAGCGAAAGCAUGGGUAGCAAACAGGAUUAGAUACCCUGGUAGUCCAUGCCGUAAACGUUGGGCACUAGGUGUGGGUCUCAACCAACGAGAUCCGCGCCGUCGCUAACGCAUUAAGUGCCCCGCCUGGGGAGUACGGUCGCAAGCUAAAACCUUAAAUGAAUUGACGG